CUCCGUGCACUCUGCAGGCA
rnacentral:miRNA from 1 species